rnacentral:rRNA from 1 species
GACGAACGCUGGCGGCGUGCCUAAUACAUGCAAGUAGAACGCUGAAGGAGGAGCUUGCUUCUCCGGAUGAGUUGCGAACGGGUGAGUAACGCGUAGGUAACCUGCCUGGUAGCGGGGGAUAACUAUUGGAAACGAUAGCUAAUACCGCAUAACAGUAGAUAUUGCAUGAUAUCUGCUUGAAAGGUGCAAAUGCAUCACUACCAGAUGGACCUGCGUUGUAUUAGCUAGUUGGUGGGGUAACGGCUCACCAAGGCGACGAUACAUAGCCGACCUGAGAGGGUGAUCGGCCACACUGGGACUGAGACACGGCCCAGACUCCUACGGGAGGCAGCAGUAGGGAAUCUUCGGCAAUGGACGGAAGUCUGACCGAGCAACGCCGCGUGAGUGAAGAAGGUUUUCGGAUCGUAAAGCUCUGUUGUAAGAGAAGAACGAGUGUGAGAGUGGAAAGUUCACACUGUGACGGUAUCUUACCAGAAAGGGCGG